CUAAAUGCGGAAGAGAUAAGUGCUGAAAGCAUCUAAGCACGAAACUUGCCCCGAGAUGAGUUCUCCCUGACUCCUUGAGAGUCCUGAAGGAACGUUGAAGACGACGACGUUGAUAGGCCGGGUGUGUAAGCGCAGCGAUGCGUUGAGCUAACCGGUACUAAUGAACCGUGAGGCUUAACCUUACAACGCCGAAG
rnacentral:rRNA from 1 species